GCAAAGCCAGACUACUGUCCCCAAUUUGAUGACUUGCAACUUGACUUAGCAAAUAAUAAAUGACUUGAGACUCGAUUGGAC